AGAAUCAACGCUGGCGGCGUGCCUAACACAUGCAAGUCGAACGAGAAAGUGGGAGCAAUCCCACGAGUAAAGUGGCGCACGGGUGAGUAACACGUGACUAACCUACCCUUGAGUGGGGGAUAACCUAGGGAAACCUGGGCUAAUACCGCAUAAUACCUACGGGUCAAAGGAGCAAUUCGCUUUAGGAGGGGGUCGCGGCAGAUUAGUUAGUUGGCGGGGUAAUGGCUCACCAAGACAGUGAUCUGUA
rnacentral:rRNA from 1 species